UUCCGCCUGACGAGUCCUAAGUAGGACGAAACGCGCGUCCUUGAU
rnacentral:hammerhead_ribozyme from 1 species